ensembl:antisense A730035I17Rik RIKEN cDNA A730035I17 gene
UGCUGCUGUUGCUCUUUACCACCGCCGCCGCCGCCGUGGUCCUUAGUGCCCAAGCCGCCCCCUUGCUCGUCUUGGGGAUUCGCAUCAGUGCUGUGAAGUCUCUUGGGGCAGCGGAAUCGCAGAUGUGCCACAUAGGGGAACUCAAACUGGAAACGUUGGCUGCAUUCCAGUUUCAUUCGGGACAACACCUCAGAAGCUUCGUCCACCCUAUGAUGUGCAAGGUGAGCCCAGGCACCCGAGCCAACCUACCGUUCAUUUUGUGAGCUCUAGACGGGCAGAGCAAGAGCAAUUCAGUCAGUUCUUUCCCGUACCAAACUAGUAACUCUUCAUCUUUGGCAAUCCUGCGGAGAGAGCGGUAGAACAGCUGUCCAUUUUUUAUAUAAGCUUCGAGAUUCUGUUCUUCCUUAUCUCGGGCUGAUUGGACCAGCCGCAGCCACAUGAGACCUUCUGAGGAACCAUUUGCCGCCGAAGUGUCUACCUACAGUAUUUAAG